CAGAGAUUCUCAGUGUGAGAUAGACACAAUUUGAGAAAAAGAGAGAUAAUCAACGGGUUGAUAGAUAAAGAUACUUGCAGCAGAGGGAUGAAAAAGAGGUUGUUGCAGCAGAGAGAGAAGUUGUUGCAGUAGAGAGAGAAGUUGUUGCAGUAGAGAGAGAAGUUGUUGCAGCAGAGAGUAGAGAGAGAAGUUAGAGAGAAAGAGAGGUUGUUGCAGCAGAGAGAGAAGUUAGAGAGACAGAGAGGUUGUUGCAGUAGAGAGAGAAGUUAGAGAGAGAGAGGUUGUUGCAGCAGAGAGAGAAGAGAGAGAGAGGUUUAGCAGGUGAAGGGAAGCAGAGAAAAAGAGCAAAGAGGGAUGGAUCCUGAUAAAGCUUAUAUGAGCCUGCAC
rnacentral:lncRNA from 1 species